UACGGGGGGGGCAAGCGUUGUUCGGAAUUACUGGGCGUAAAGGGCUCGUAGGUGGCCAACUAAGUCGGACGUGAAAUCCCUCAGCUUAACUGGGGAACUGCGUCCGAUACUGGACGGCUUGAGUUUGGGAGAGGGAUGCGGAAUUCCAGGUGUAGCGGUGAAAUGCGUAGAUAUCUGGGGGAACACCGGUGGCGAAGGCGGCAUCCUGGACCAACACUGACACUGAGGAGCGAAAGCCAGGGGAGCAAACGGG
rnacentral:rRNA from 1 species